GACGAGGUGGCCGAGUGGGUAAGGCGAUGGACUGCUAAUCCAUUGUGCUCUGCACGCGUGGGUUCGAAUCCCGUCCUCGGCG
rnacentral:tRNA from 2 species